rnacentral:rRNA from 1 species
GAUGAACGCUGGCGGCGUGCCUAAUUCAUGCGAGUCGAGCGAACGGACGAGAAGCUUGCUUCUCUGAUGUUAGCGGCGGACGGGUGAGUAACACGUGGAUAACCUACCUAUAAGACUGGGAUAACUUCGGGAAACCGUAGCUAAUACCGGAUAAUAUUUUGAACCGCAUGGUUCAAAAGUGAAAGACGGUCUUGCUGUCACUUAUAGAUGGAUCCGCGCUGCAUUAGCUAGUUGGUAAGGUAACGGCUUACCAAGGCAACGAUGCAUAGCCGACCUGAGAGGGUGAUCGGCCACACUGGAACUGAGACACGGUCCAGACUCCUACGGGAGGCAGCAGUAGGGAAUCUUCCGCAAUGGGCGAAAGCCUGACGGAGCAACGCCGCGUGAGUGAUGAAGGUCUUCGGAUCGUAAAACUCUGUUAUUAGGGAAGAACAUAUGUGUAAGUAACUGUGCACAUCUUGACGGUACCUAAUCAGAAAGCCACGGCUAACUACGUG